UACGGGGGGAGCUAGCGUUGUUCGGAAUUACUGGGCGUAAAGCGCACGUAGGCGGCUUUUUAAGUCAGGGGUGAAAUCCCGGGGCUUAACCCCGGAACUGCCCUUGAAACUGGAGAGCUAGAAUCUUGGAGAGGCGAGUGGAAUUCCGAGUGUAGAGGUGAAAUUCGUAGAUAUUCGGAAGAACACCAGCGGCGAAGGCGGCUCGCUGGACAAGUAUUGACGCUGAGGUGCGAAAGCGUGGGGAGCAAACAGG
rnacentral:rRNA from 1 species